rnacentral:tRNA from 1 species
AAUGAAGUGCCUGACUAAAGGGCUACCUUGAUAGGGUAAAUUAAGUAAUUUAAAUUACCUUCAUUA